rnacentral:lncRNA from 1 species
AUAAGAUUUGAAUAAAAAGCAAAAGUCUUUGAGUCCCUGCUAUGCACUAGGUACUGUACCAGAGCUGAGGGCUAUCUUCACUAUAUCUGCUCACUGGCAGCCUGAAACUUCAGUUUCAAAGACAGGCCUGGAUCAUUCUUCACCAGAGAAACACAGAAGUAUGUUUCUAUCACUGAUGCUCCAUCUUUAAAACAUCACUGAUCUGAGUUUCACACAUCCUGUCUCUGAAAGAGACAAGAUAUAGGGUGUUUGCUA